rnacentral:misc_RNA from 1 species
UCCGAGUUGACCCCGGCAGUCUCCCACGAGUCCCCGGCAUUACCCGCUGGCAACUAAGGACGAGGGUUGCGCUCGUUGCGGGACUUAACCCAACAUCUCACGACACGAGCUGACGACAGCCAUGCACCACCUGUGCACGGCCCUUACGGACCCGACAUCUCUGCCGGAUUUCCGUGCAUGUCAAGCCCAGGUAAGGUUCUUCGCGUUGCAUCGAAUUAAUCCACAUGCUCCACCGCUUGUGCGGGCCCCCGUCAAUUCCUUUGAGUUUCAGCCUUGCGGCCGUACUCCCCAGGCGGGACACUUAAUGCGUUAGCUGCGACACCGAAGGGGUCGUUCCCACCGGCAUCUAGUGCCCAUCGUUUACGGCGUGGACUAC